rnacentral:tRNA from 1 species
CCGACGGCGGUGCGGGGCGCGGCGGUGUUGUUGCCCUCGCCGUCGUGGUUCUGUGCCACUCCGUCGAC